AGGGCCGUUAUCGGUAUUCUGGGGCGUAAGCGUGUGUAGGCGGUUCGGAAAGAAAGAUGUGAAAUCCCAGGGCUCAACCUUGGAACUGCAUUUUUAACUGCCGAGCUAGAGUAUGUCAGAGGGGGGUAGAAUUCCACGUGUAGCAGUGAAAUGCGUAGAUAUGUGGAGGAAUACCGAUGGCGAAGGCAGCCCCCUGGGAUAAUACUGACGCUCAGACACGAAAGCGUGGGGAGCAAACAGGAUUAGAUACCCUGGUAGUCCACGCCCUAAACGAUGUCAACUAGCUGUUGGGGCCGUUAGGCCUUAGUAGCGCAGCUAACGCGUGAAGUUGACCGCCUGGGGAGUACGGUCGCAAGAUUAAAACUCAAAGGAAUUGACGGGGACCCGCACAAGCGGUGGAUGAUGUGGAUUAAUUCGAUGCAACGCGAAAAACCUUACCUACCCUUGACAUGUCUGGAAUGCCGAAGAGAUUUGGCAGUGCUCGCAAGAGAACCGGAACACAGGUGCUGCAUGGCUGUCGUCAGCUCGUGUCGUGAGAUGUUGGGUUAAGUCCCGCAACGAGCGCAACCCUUGUCAUUAGUUGCUACGCAAGAGCACUCUAAUGAGACUGCCGGUGACAAACCGGAGGAAGGUGGGGAUGACGUCAAGUCCUCAUGGCCCUUAUGGGUAGGGCUUCACACGUCAUACAAUGGUCGGGACAGAGGGUCGCCAACCCGCGAGGGGGAGCCAAUCUCAGAAACCCGAUCGUAGUCCGGAUCGCAGUCUGCAACUCGACUGCGUGAAGUCGGAAUCGCUAGUAAUCGCGGAUCAGAAUGUCGCGGUGAAUACGUUCCCGGGUCUUGUACACACCGCCCGUCACACCAUGGGAGUGGGUUUCACCAGAAGUAGGUAGCCUAACCGUAAGGAGGGCGCUUACCACGGUGGGAUUCAUGACUGGGGUGAAGUCGUACAAGGGGAUACGCGAUAAAGGGGGAGAAGGCCCCGCCGGCUCUUU
rnacentral:rRNA from 1 species